rnacentral:rRNA from 1 species
UUUUUUAUAAAAGUAAUUUAUUUAUUUAAGGUUUUAGUAUUUAGUAAAAAUUAAUUUAUAGAUUUAUAGUUUAAUAGUAUUGUAAAAGAAUUAAUUAAAUUUUUAAAAGAAUAUUUUUAGUACCUUUUGUAUCAGGGUUAAUUAAAAUUUUUAAUUUUUUUUUAAUUUCUCAAAAUUUAUAGAGUUAAUUUUAUUAUUAAUUUAUUGUGUUAUAAAUAUUUAUAAAAUAAUAUUAGUUUUGAAAUUUAAUUCGUUAUAUUAUAUUUAGUUAUUUAAGAUUUAAAUUUAAUUUAAAAUUUUAAAAGUUAUUUUGAUUUUAUAUAUUAAUAUUUUAAAUUUAAAUUAUUUUAGGGAUAAGCUUAAAAUUUUUAUAUAAUAAUUUAUUUAUUUUAAUAAUUUAUAGGAAUAGAAAUUUUUAUUUUAAGUUUGUAAAAAUUUAUUAUUUAUUUAUUUUUAAUUUAUUAUAAAUUUAUUUAUUUUUUUUAUUAAAUUUUAUUAAUUAAUAUUUAAUUUUUAGUAAUAAUGAUUAAAUUAGUAUAAUUUAUAUUUAUAAAUUAUGAAUUCGGCAAAAAUUAUUUUCAUCUGUUUAACAAAAACAUUGUAUUAAGUUUAAUUUAAUAUAGGAUCUGCUCAAUGAUUUAUUAAAUAGCUGCAGUAUUUUGACUGUGCAAAGGUAGCAUAAUAAUUAGUCUUUUAAUUGAGGACUUGUAUGAAAGAUUUGAUGAGAAAUAAACUUUAUUAUUUAUAUAAUUAAAAUUUUAUUUUUAAGUAAAAAAGCUUAAAUUAUUUAAAGGGACGAUAAGACCCUAUAAAACUUUAUAAAUGAUAAUUUUAAUUUUUUUGGAUUUAUAAAUAUUUUAAUUUUAUUAUUUAUUUUAUUGGGGGGAUAAAAAAAAUUUUUAAACUUUUUUUAAAAUUUUACAUUAUUUAAUGAAUAUUUGAAUUAAAAUUUUUAAUUAAAGGAAAAAGUUACUUUAGGGAUAACAGCGUAAUUAAUUUUUUAAGUUCAAAUUUGAAAAUUAGUUUGCGACCUCGAUGUUGAAUUUAAUUAAUCUUAGGUGCCAAAUUUUAAGUAUUAGGUCUG